UACGUAGGCAGCAAGCGUUGUUCGGAGUUACUGGGCGUAAAGGGUGUGUAGGCGGUUGGAUAAGUGUGGUGUGAAAUCGCCCGGCUCAACUGGGCGGGGUCAGCGGAUACGGCGCGGCUGGAGCAAGCUAGGGGGCAAUGGAACUCCCGGUGUAGUGGUGGAAUGCGUAGAUAUCGGGAAGAACACCAGUGGCGAAGGCGGUUGCCUGGAGCUUUGCUGACGCUGAGGCGCGAAAGCGUGGGGAGCGAGUCCGG
rnacentral:rRNA from 1 species